rnacentral:rRNA from 1 species
ACAGGCUUAACACAUGCAAGUCGAGGGGCAGCGGGGUAGUGCUUGCACUACUGCCGGCGACCGGCGCACGGGUGAGUAACACGUAUGGAACCUGCCCGCAGCAGGGGGAUAAGCGGAAGAAAUUCCGUCUAAUACCGCGUAACAACGUUGGGAGGCAUCUCCCGAUGUUUAAAGAUUUAUCGGCUGCGGAUGGCCAUGCGGCGCAUUAGCUAGUCGGCGGGGUAACGGCCCACCGAGGCGACGAUGCGUAGGGGUUCUGAGAGGAAGGUCCCCCACACUGGUACUGAGACACGGACCAGACUCCUACGGGAGGCAGCAGUGAGGAAUAUUGGUCAAUGGCCGAGAGGCUGAACCAGCCAAGUCGCGUGAGGGAAGACGGCCCUACGGGUUGUAAACCUCUUUUGUCGGGGAGCAAAGCGAACCACGUGUGGUUCAUUGAGAGUACCCGAAGAAAAAGCAUCGGCUAACUCCGUGCCAGCAGCCGCGGUAAUACGGAGGAUGCGAGCGUUAUCCGGAUUUAUUGGGUUUAAAGGGUGCGCAGGCGGAGGUGCAAGUCAGCGGUCAAAUUGCGGGGCUCAACCCCGUACUGCCGUUGAAACUGCAUCCCUUGAGUGCGCGAGAAGUAUGCGGAAUGCGUGGUGUAGCGGUGAAAUGCAUAGAUAUCACGCAGAACUCCGAUUGCGAAGGCAGCAUACCGGCGCGCAACUGACGCUCAUGCACGAAAGCGUGGGUAUCGAACAGGAUUAGAUACCCUGGUAGUCCACGCAGUAAACGAUGAACACUAACUGUUCGGCCAGAAUGAUGGCUGAGUGGUACAGCGAAAGCGUUAAGUGUUCCACCUGGGGAGUACACCGGCAACGGUGAAACUCAAAGGAAUUGACGGGGGCCCGCACAAGCGGAGGAACAUGUGGUUUAAUUCGAUGAUACGCGAGGAACCUUACCCGGGCUCAAACGACACAGGAAUACUUUUGAAAGGAGGUAGCCCUACGGGGUCUGUGUCGAGGUGCUGCAUGGUUGUCGUCAGCUCGUGCCGUGAGGUGUCGGCUUAAGUGCCAUAACGAGCGCAACCCCUAUCGCCAGUUACCAUCAAGUAAAGUUGGGGACUCUGGCGAGACUGCCGGCGCAAGCUGAGAGGAAGGCGGGGAUGACGUCAAAUCAGCACGGCCCUUACGUCCGGGGCGACACACGUGUUACAAUGGCAGGUACAGAGAGAAGCCAGGUGGCGACACCGCGCGGAACUCGAAAGCCUGUCUCAGUUCGGAUCGGAGUCUGCAACCCGACUCCGUGAAGCUGGAUUCGCUAGUAAUCGCGCAUCAGCCAUGGCGCGGUGAAUACGUUCCCGGGCCU